ensembl:lncRNA
GUUCAGCAGAGUGCUUUUUUCCCUUGGCUGAUCUCCUCCCCACCUUGCAGUGAGGCCUAUGUCCCCAGCUGAGCCAGCUUCUCUUCAGAGAGGGAUCUGUUUUGAGGGGGGGAGGGGGGUGUCAGCAUCCUCAGAUAAGCCUGGGAAAGGGGUUUAAUUACCAAAUAAUGUAAAACCUCAAAUGCAAGGACUUGAACAGCCUUAACCAAAUACUCUUUCCCACAUGGAGCAGGAAGCAGACAGCUCAUCCCUGCCGCACACAGGAAGUCAACCCAGCGUGGCCUUCCUGAGUGGCAUUCUGUCAUUCCCCAGCUGGUUCUCAGCCUCCUCUGCCUUCCGUGUGGUUAGAGUCACGUCAUUUUGUUUCUCAGUGGCCACAUCUACUUCUGUGAAAGACCAGUUGCAUUUCUAUGGACUCUCAGUGUCUUAGGGAACUUUAUAAGGAGAUUCUCUGCUACCAAACAAUGGUGUGGAUUCUUUUGCACAGAAAUAUUUAAGGUGGGACAGUCAAAAAUGUAACAAGACUCCUCGCCGAUAUUUUAUGUUGGUAUCACUUAAUAUUAACCAGACUCUGAUGUAUUGCAAUAAAACAGAGAACUGUUAGAACUG